ACCUAGCUGGCUCAGUCAAUAGAGCAUGGGACUCUUGAUCUCAGGGUACUGAGUUCAAAUCCUGUGUUGGGUG
rnacentral:tRNA from 1 species